rnacentral:pre_miRNA from 1 species
GGAAUAUAAGAACCCGUCUCUUAACUUUUAACUAAAAAAGUUAAGAACCGGCUCUUAAAACUCUUAUUUAAGAACCGGUUCUUAGUUUUUUUAGUUAAAAAUUAAGAGACGGGUUAUUAUAUUCC